rnacentral:rRNA from 1 species
UACGUAGGCAGCGAGCGUUGUUCGGAGUUACUGGGCGUAAAGAGCUCGUAGGCGGUGUGUCGCGUCGGCCGUGAAAACCUGCAGCUUAACUGUGGGCUUGCGGUCGAUACGGGCAUCACUGGAGUUCGGCAGGGGAGACUGGAAUUCCUGGUGUAGCGGUGAAAUGCGCAGAUAUCAGGAGGAACACCGGUGGCGAAGGCGGGUCUCUGGGCCGAUACUGACGCUGAGGAGCGAAAGCGUGGGGAGCGAACAGG